UAAUACAGAACCCGCAAGCGUUAUCCGGAUUUAUUGGGCGUAAAGGGUCCGUAGGCGCCCCGUCAGGUUUUCUGUUAAAUCUCUAGGGCUCAACCUUAGAGCCGCAGAAAAAACCGGCAGGGUAGAGGGCGUUAAAGGCUGAUGGAACGGUCGGUGUAGGGGUGAAAUCCGUUGAUAUCGACCGGAACACCAAAAGCGAAGGCAUUCAGCUGGGACGACCCUGACGCUGAGGGACGAAAGCGUGGGUAUCGACAAGGAUUAGAUACCCUUUUAGUCCACGCUGUAAACGAUGGACACUGGCUAUUCGAAGUGUCGACCCUUCGGGUGGCGAAGCUAACGCGUUAAGUGUCCCGCCUGGGAAGUACGGCGGCAACGCUA
rnacentral:rRNA from 1 species